rnacentral:rRNA from 1 species
GACGAACGCUGGCGGCGUGCCUAACACAUGCAAGUCGAACGGAAAGACCAUGCGCUUGCGGGGUGCUCGAGAGGCGAACGGGUGAGUAACACGCGAGUAUCAUGCCCCUGACUUUGGGAUAACAUCAGGAAACAGGGGAGAAUACCGGAGAGGAGCUCCUGAUGCAUGGGGGGGGUUGGAAAGAUUCGGCGGUGGGGGAUGGACUCGCGGCUUACCAGCUUGUUGGUGGGGUAGGGGCGUACAAGGGCUUUGACGGGUAGCCGGCCUGAGAGGGUGACCGGCCACAUUGGGACUGCGAUACGGACCAGACUCGUACGGGAGGCAGCAGUGGGGAAUAUUGCACAAUGGGCGCACGCCUGAUGCAGCAACGCCGCGUGCGGGAUGCCGGCCUUCGGGUUGUGAACAGCUUUGGCCUGUGACGAAGCCUGAGUGACGGUAAUGGGUCAAGAAGCACCGGCUAACUACGUG